CACCAGUUAGCCAGCGAAAGGCUAAUCCUGUAAACACUGGAGUUCAUCCAAUGGUUGACAGAUUAACCCACUCCAUCCUGGGACUGUCACACACACACACAUGUACACACAGACACACACUCCCAUCCUGGCCGUGUCGCUAAUGAUGAGACAGGAACUGGACAAGUCCAGUUUUUCAGAGAGAAUCUGUUAUAAGACAAAGCAGACAUAUACUUGGAGCUGUGUUUUCAGGCGCCCAUGAGUAUGACCAGAAAGAAAUUAAAUUACUGUGAGAGGCACCAAAUGAGAACACCCAUCGAGUUCACUGCCUGGCUCAACUUUCAGCACGUUGAUCAUAUGGCACGUCGCUGGGUGAGUGACGGCCCUGCGACCUGCGGUGUGAAUGCCCCGGUUACGCCACCGCCUUUGAUCGUAGAUGCAGGAUACAGCACCGCAAAGGAUGAUGAGGCAUGUGGAAGCUCGUCCGUUGUCCUUUGACGACCUUUUCAUCGCUGACAUUUUAUUGUUUCCCCUCUGGCUGGGAUCAGUGUGUGUGUGAGUGUAUUGAGUGGUACACUUGAGCCCUGCUCCCUGACAUGCUAAUAGCAGGUUGUCAUCUUCUACAGAUUUGUUUAUGAUUGUGUUUCUUGUGCUCGUACGCACACACACGUACACGCACUAUGUUUUGGAAAGUUUGAUUGAAGCUACCGAUGGCCGAUACGCCGUUUAUAUUUAAAUCAGACAAUUUUCACAGCCAUAAAUUACAUGAAUUUAAUGUUUCCCGCAGACUUUUAUUCUUGGCAGCGUUAAGUAACAGUGCCUCUAAAACAACAUUUAGAGCCUCAUAAGAGCCACUAAACUGCACUGGAACACUUACAGAUGAAAUUUAGGUGGGUUAGCAGCUGCAUAAAGAGCUGUUAUAGAAAGAAAAACAUGUAUUAUUGCUCAAAUAAAGGAUUUAAAAUGGAGUUGACCAAGAGUCUACAGCAAUACUAGCAGCUUUUUAGAUACAGCUGUGCUUUAAAGUACAUGCAUAUGUUAGCAUGCUAACAUACUCAUAGUGACAAUGUUAUGUACAUGUGUUUUUGAUGCUACAUCGAUACGUUAGCAUGCUAACAUGCUCACAGUGACAAUGUUAUGUACAUGUGUUCUUGAUACUACAUAGAUACGUUAGCAUGCUAACAUGCUCACAGUGAUAAUGUUAUACACAGGUGUUCUUGAUGCUACAUAGAUACGUUAGCAUGCUAAUAUGCUCAUAGUGACUAUGUAAGCUCGCUGAUGUUUAGCAAAUUUCAUAUUACCAUGAUGAUUGUCUUAGUUUAUUAUGUUAGCAUGCUAACAGUUGUUAAUUAGCCCUGAACAAAAAGGACAGUUUAGACUUUUCCUCCUAAAAACAUACUACUAAAACUGAAAAUAAAACAAAUGAGUAAAAUGUGUAAAGCAAGAGGAAUGUCCUUCAUAUCACCAGUAGCUAAGGGAUUUAACACAAAGACACCCACACACUCUCUCACACCACAUCUGUAGAUGUGAACCCAGCAGGGAAAGAAAUGUCAAGAACGAGAGGAUUCAGUGCAGACGCUGGCCCUCAAACUCUGAGGCGGCCGCAGCGUUUUCUCCUGAGUUAUGGCACGAUGCAGUUCCCUGUAAUUUACCUUCUGCUGGAGCACGUAGGGCUGUUCGCCCAGCAUUCCUCUGCCUGCCCGCCACAACACAUGAAAGCUUCGGCCACAGCUGUUCUAGAUGGGGGGAAAUGAGUCCCAGAUGGCAAAGUGUUUUGUGUGUAUGUGUGUGUCUGUGUUUCUUGCCACAUAAGAGAGCGCUUUCUUACUGUACAAGUGACCUGAGUCACAUCCCCCAGGGUAAUGUGGGGAAGACGAUUGCAGGAUGGCGGCGAAUGUGUAGGUGAAGCCUACUGUAUGUGGACGCACGUCUGCUGCAGCUGGCGUGCACUGGACAUGUGUGUGUUCUCUCUCGAACACACACAAGAGACUGUGGAAAAUCACGCUGAACCCAAAGACAGCACCAGCAACAAUUUUACAACCUUGCAAUCGACGUUUUGCAAGCACUGCUGAGCAUAUGUGCUGCGUCAUGCAAGCGCAGUACAGCUCGAAGGCUAUUGAUUACACAGCUGCAAUCAGCGUCCAUCCUGCUGUUAAAUUAUGCAUGUCAAUGCAUAGCGGACACAUUUUGGAAAGACGGGAUAAUCCUGGAGGUUGAAGAUUAUCAGUCAAGCCAGUAUUUAAUGCACAUGUAUAUUCUAUGUUGCCGAAUUCAUCCAUGCAUCAUUUCAUCCAUGCAUGCAACUACUCAUCUUACCUCAAUACCAAAACAAUAACCUCUUAUAAUAGAAAAUCUUUCCAGGUUGACAGCAUUUAUAAGCCUGUAAACUGCUCUUUUGCAAGAGGCAGAAUAAGCUGCGAGCGGCGUCACGCUGAAAAGUAGCCAGUCAUGAUGAAUGCAGGGCUUUGAGAGCUCAAUGCGGUGCUAAGGGUCAACAAUGUUUUCUUGUCUUUGCCAGAGAGUUGCACACAUGGGUGAAUAUGCCCUGUAUGUGCGUGCUGGUCCACGUGUUACAUGUUCAUCUGCAGACUGUUCAGAGAAUGAUUGUCAUAUUGAAUGGUAUCCCUUUAAUUAUGUUUUGAUGGGUUUGUGUGUAAGCAUACAAUACUUGAAAGCUUUCCUUUUAUAAUGUGAUUUCUGUAAAUGGUAAAAAAGAAAAGAAAAAAGAAUAACAGGCAAAAGUGGAGCAGGAUUAAAGCUUCUAUUUCUGUGAGCAUGGAAGUAAACUGAAUUUGUGGGAAAUUUGAACAUCAGCAAUCUGAAAAGGGUUCAGUAUGCUUCAAAGGAAGCGUCCGACAGUGCUUUUACCCUUUUCUGAUGUGAACAAUGAACGAUAAAACAAUCACACCUACUUUACGGAACAUUUGUGUGCAAAGGUGGGAAUGUAAGUUUUUAUGGAACUACAACAGUGAGAUUAAAAUUUUGUCACGCCAUUUAGCACAAACCUUGAUAUACUUGUUCUAUUCUGAUAGAUAUUUUUAAUUAUUUGUGUUUUUCAAUGACAAUCUGCAUAUUUUUUCAUUAUCUCUGUCUGGUGAUUUGUUUAGUUACUAAUUUUUGCAAUGAUUUUCAGUUUCAGCUUUCUGUCACUGUUUUAGCCUGGAGGGGCUGGUGGGCGGAGUUAAGCGCUCCUUACAUGUAACCACCUUCGAAAGGUCAGAAUUUUAAUGUCACUGUUCUAACUUCAUAAGUUUUUCAUUCUACUAUCAUUUGUUGAUAAAUGAUAAAUGAUGUUAUCCAGUGUGACUUAAGUGCAUUCAUGUGUCCAAACUCAAAAGGAACCGGGUGUUAUCCAAAACUGCAAGUGGAACCCUACUGUAUAAACUGCAAAAAGUGUAUGAGAGAGCGUCGUUGCAAGGUUUUUAAGAAGUGAAUUCCUCUGAAAUUGUUUGCCUUUUCCCCCAUUUGUACAAUCCAGAGCAUCAAAACUAUAAAAGAUAGAGAUUGGGAGGCAGUGUGAUGCAACCACAAGGAUAUGAUGGCAUUGUUUUAUAUAUGAUGGGAUUAUAUAGCUUGUUUAAAGAAUAAUGAAGUCUUUCUCAAUCUAAAUCUACUCAUAUUGUAUUUUUUUUUUAAAAUCAAUUUAAACUCACAGAAGUGGACAUGUAACCAGACUCUUUAUCUUGAAGGCACCACAUCUGUCAGCAGCCAUUGCCAGGCGAACAGUAGCAGUUGCAGAAAGGGUGAAAAAAAAUCAGCUUAAAUAAACACACAAGCUUUUUCCUUACAAUCUACACCUUACAGCUGAGAGCAGGACAAACAAAGAGUUAUUGGAGGUCAAAGGUUGCGCGUGUGCUGGUAUAUGUUACAACACGUCAACAGACGAGGAGGGCCAGGAAGAUUACAACACAUUAUCCGUUGCUCAGAGGAGUCUGGCGGAGUUAAGCAACGAGGUGAAAGUUCAGGUCUUGAAAAUCGACAGCUGGGUGGUUGUUCCUUUCUCAAUGAAGGUGAUGACGGCGAAUGUCUUUUGGCUGCUGAGCUGCCGUCAUAGUUGGAGCUGAGGUGAAGGCUUCGUGGUUGAGACAUUUCCUUGUGCAAGCUGGGUAAAGAAACAGCUUUGUUUUGGUGCUUGUC